rnacentral:sRNA from 1 species
CCGAGUUCUUCACCCCCACUCCCAACCCAUUGUGAACAUACCCAUCGUUGCUUCGGCGGACUCGCCCCAGCGUCCGGACGGCCCCGCGCCGGCCCCGGCCAGGACCCAGGCGGCCGCCGGGGACCCUAAACGCUGAUAUCCAUCAGUCUCUCUGAAUCCGCGCAAGGAACACAAAUGAAUCAAAACUUUCAACAGCGGAUCUCUUG